rnacentral:tRNA from 1 species
UAUAGGGUGAUGUAUAUGGCAUUAUAUCUUUUGGUGAUAUAUGAGGUAGUUAACCCCCUAUAA